AGAGCGAACGCUGGCGGCAGGCUUAACACAUGCAAGUCGAGCGGGCGUAGCAAGUACGUCAGCGGCAGACGGGUGAGUAACGCGUGGGAACGUACCUUUUGGUUCGGAACAACCCAGGGAAACUUGGGCUAAUACCGGAUAAGCCCUUACGGGGAAAGAUUUAUCGCCGAAAGAUCGGCCCGCGUCUGAUUAGCUAGUUGGUGAGGUAAUGGCUCACCAAGGCGACGAUCAGUAGCUGGUCUGAGAGGAUGAUCAGCCACAUUGGGACUGAGACACGGCCCAAACUCCUACGGGAGGCAGCAGUGGGAAUAUGGACAAUGGGCGCAAGCCUGAUCCAGCCAUGCCGCGUGAGUGAUGAAGGCCCUAGGGUUGUAAAGCUCUUUUGUGCGGGAAGAUAAUGACGGUACCGCAAGAAUAAGCCCCGGCUAACUUCGUGCCAGCAGCCGC
rnacentral:rRNA from 1 species